rnacentral:rRNA from 1 species
CUACGGGGUGCUCCAGUGGGGAAUAUUGGACAAUGGGCGAAAGCCUGAUCCAGCCAUGCCGCGUGUGUGAAGAAGGUCUUCGGAUUGUAAAGCACUUUAAGUUGGGAGGAAGGGCAGUAAGUUAAUACCUUGCUGUUUUGACGUUACCAACAGAAUAAGCACCGGCUAACUUCGUGCCAGCAGCCGCGGUAAUACGAAGGGUGCAAGCGUUAAUCGGAAUUACUGGGCGUAAAGCGCGCGUAGGUGGUUUUGUAAGUUGGAGGUGAAAUCCCCGGGCUCAACCUGGGAACUGCCUCCAAAACUGCAUGACUAGAGUACGGUAGAGGGUGGUGGAAUUUCCUGUGUAGCGGUGAAAUGCGUAGAUAUAGGAAGGAACACCAGUGGCGAAGGCGACCACCUGGACUGAUACUGACACUGAGGUGCGAAAGCGUGGGGAGCAAACAGGAUUAGAUACCCCUGUAGUC